UACAGAGGGUGCGAGCGUUGUCCGGAAUCACUGGGCGUAAAGGGCGCGUAGGUGGCGCUCCAAGUCCGUGGUGAAAGCUCGAUGCUCAACAUCGAGUCGGCCACGGAGACUGGAGGGCUCGAGCACUGUAGGGGCAGAUGGAAUUCCGGGUGUAGCGGUGGAAUGCGUAGAGAUCCGGAAGAACACCGGUGGCGAAGGCGAGUCUCUGGACAUUUCCUGACGCUGAGGCACGAAAGCCAGGGGAGCAAACGGG
rnacentral:rRNA from 1 species